rnacentral:lncRNA from 1 species
AUGGGAAUUCCCCCCUUCGGGGGGCGGAAAAGGGGCUUUCCCGAAGGGGACACCGGGCGGCCGGACGGGGCCGGGGUCGGGGUCGGGCCUGGGCCUCGGGACCGGUUGGGAGCUGCAGCCGAGGGAGGCGGUGAGUGCCCAUCGCGCCGGGCCCAAGGGCUUCCCGUCUCCCGGGGGGGGAGGGGGCGGGACCCCCCACUCGGGCCCGGGGCCGCGCCCUCGCCCACGGGCAGCCCGGCCCAGACGGGCAGGGGCACCCGCACAGACACGCGGGGCGGGGGGCGCCCACGCACCCCCCCGGGCCCUUGGACGUCCGCGGGGCUCCGGCCGGCUCCACGCAGUCAGGCGAGCAGGUGCCUAAGCGGUCACCCGGACGCGGACGCCAAUGACACGAAUAUGCAGAGCCGGGCACACACCGCCCGGGAGGAAGCAGAGGGCGGGCCUGACGGAGGUCCCGAGGGCCAGGACCCGGGGCCGGGGAGCCAGACGGGUGGGCAGGGGGGCGAGGAGGAGUCGCCCCGGGGCCUGGGCGCCUCCACCCCGGGAAACUCCGGGGCCCGGAGAUCCGGGCGGCGACCCCGAGGGAGGAGAGCCCCGGGCUCAAGGAAUCCACCCUCAAAAACCCCAACCCGGGGGACUCGGCCUCCGGCUUCUGGAGAAAACCCCAGGGUUUCCGCAGGCCCGGCAUCUCGGGGCGGAGGACCGACAGGCCGGGUGGGGGGUGGGCGGGGGGACAGGGGGAGGAGAGGACUGCCCGCCCCGGCUGCCCCCGCCUCACGUUUGGCUCGCCCAGCCCACCACCAAGAAGCGGGAAGCCCUGGGCCCCGGGAUCCGGGCCGGGCCCAACCCCACCCCGUCCACUUUCCUAACCCCGGCGACCCUAACAAGGGCGCUAGGGAGGGUGGCCCGCGACGCGCUCGCUGUGGGCUCGAUCAAAGAGACACGGGUCGAAGGCGGGCCCCAAGAGGGAGGGGGAAUGGCCACUCGCUCCCCACUCCACGGAGGAGGCAGGGAGGCCCGGAGGGAUGGGGCGGCCCGUCCCGAGGUCAGCCGGCGGGCAAGCGGCACAGCCGGGCCGAGAGCCUCCCCCCUCCCUCCCCGGCCCGCUUGCCCUCGGCCCCGGGAAUUGCCGUGGGGGGGGAUCGUCAGGGGGAAGGGAGGGGAGGGGAGGGGGUUUCCAGCGGGCAAGAUCCCCCAGGAUGCUGA